AGAGUUUGAUCAUGGCUCAGGAUGAACGCUGGCGGUCUGCUUAACACAUGCAAGUCGAACGCAAGUAGCAAUACUUGAGUGGCGGACGGGUGAGUAACGCGUGAGAAUCUGCCUUUUGGUCGGGGACAACCACUGGAAACGGUGGCUAAUACCGGAUAUGCCUAACGGUGAAAGAUUAAUUGCCAGAAGAGGAGCUCGCGUCUGAUUAGCUAGUUGGUGAGGUAAGAGCUCACCAAGGCAUCGAUCAGUAGCUGGUCUGAGAGGAUGAUCAGCCACACUGGGACUGAGACACGGCCCAGACUCCUACGGGAGGCAGCAGUGGGGAAUUUUCCGCAAUGGGCGAAAGCCUGACGGAGCAAGACCGCGUGAGGGAGGAAGGCUCUUGGGUUGUAAACCUCUUUUGUCAGGGAAGAACACAAUGACGGUACCUGAAGAAUCAGCAUCGGCUAACUCCGUGCCAGCAGCCGCGGUAAUACGGGGGAUGCAAGCGUUAUCCGGAAUUAUUGGGCGUAAAGCGUCCGCAGGUGGCUAAUCAAGUCUGCUGUCAAAGGUUGGGGCUUAACCCCAAAAAGGCAGUGGAAACUGAGAAGCUAGAGUGCAGUAGGGGUAGAGGGAAUUCCCGGUGUAGCGGUGAAAUGCGUAGAGAUCGGGAAGAACAUCGGUGGCGAAAGCGCUCUACUGGACUGCAACUGACACUCAGGGACGAAAGCUAGGGGAGCGAAUGGGAUUAGAUACCCCCGUAGUCC
rnacentral:rRNA from 1 species